GGAAAAGUGGCUGAGUGGUUUAAAGCAUUGGUUUGCUAAAUCAACGUAUACUAUGCUGUAUACCACGGGUUCGAAUCCCGUCUUUUCCA
rnacentral:tRNA from 2 species